CCCGCUGAACUUAAGCAUAUCAGUAAGCGGAGGAAAAGAAACUAACAAGGAUUCCCCUAGUAACUGCGAGUGAAGCGGGAAGUGCUCAAAUUUAAAAUCUGGCAAGGCUACUUGUCCGAAUUGUAAUCUAUAGGUGCUUUUUAGAAACGUGUAUUAGUGGUCCAAGUUCCUUGGAACAGGACAUCACAGAGGGUGAGAAUCCCGUCUGGAUCUCUGAUGCACUUUCGCUUGAAAGCUCCGACGAGUCAGGCUGUUUGGGAUUGCAGCUUAAAUUGGGUGGUAAAAAACAUCUAAAGCUAAAUAAUGGCAAGAGACCGAUAGCGAACAAGUACCGUGAGGGAAAGAUGAAAAGGACCUUGAAAAGGGGGUUAAAAAGAAUGUGAAAUUGUUAAAGGGGAAGCCUGUGUGUGUAGCCUUGGUUGGUGGUUGUUCGAGGCUGUUAGAUAAAGGUUUGAGGAAGGCGUUGAAAGGGGCAACUCUUUCAAUUUAUAGCCUCGAGCUGUGAUAGCACCUUGGACAAAUCGAGGUGAAAAAAUGGUUGAAAAAAGCAAUUUCUUCCGACCGUUCUUUCACUGCUCUCACCGACUUAAUGCACAUCCAGGACCCGUCUUGAAACACGG
rnacentral:rRNA from 1 species